rfam:Schistosoma mansoni strain Puerto Rico chromosome 3, complete genome
AUCCAGCUGAGGAGUCCUAGACAGGAUGAAACGCGCGUCCUGGAU